rnacentral:tRNA from 1 species
GCGGGUAUAGUUUAGUGGUAAAACCAUAGCCUUCCAAGCUAACGUGGCGGGUUCGAUUCCCGCUACCCGCU